GACGAACGCUGGCGGCGUGCCUAAUACAUGCAAGUUGAGCGCUGAAGGUUGGUCCUUGUACCAACUGGAUGAGCAGCGAACGGGUGAGUAACGCGUGGGGAAUCUGCCUUUGAGCGGGGGACAACAUUUGGAAACGAAUGCUAAUACCGCAUAAAAACUUUAAACACAAGUUUUAAGUUUGAAAGAUGCAAUUGCAUCACUCAAAGAUGAUCCCGCGUUGUAUUAGCUAGUUGGUGAGGUAAAGGCUCACCAAGGCGAUGAUACAUAGCCGACCUGAGAGGGUGAUCGGCCACAUUGGGACUGAGACACGGCCCAAACUCCUACGGGAGGCAGCAGUAGGGAAUCUUCGGCAAUAGACGAAAGUCUGACCGAGCAACGCCGCGUGAGUGAAGAAGGUUUUCGGAUCGUAAAACUCGGUUGGUAGAGAAGAACGUUGGUGAGAGUGGAAAGCUCAUCAAGUGACGGUAACUACCCAGAAAGGGACGGCUAACUACGUG
rnacentral:rRNA from 1 species